rnacentral:misc_RNA from 1 species
AAGAUGGUAAAUUGGCGAUAGCGGUGGACGAGUUAAUGAAGAAGGAAUUACAGGCUGACGGAAAGAGAGUGAAGAGAAAGCAAAAGCUGCUGCCGCCAUUUGGAUUGAGAAUAAUAAUGAACUCUCCACCGGGUAAGAGAGUCGAAUGGGAGCAUAAAUAGCUUGAGAAAAAGAAGAAAAGGACAGCCGAGGACGCAGAGAUUUGCAGCGGUUAGUUUUCACGCAAGAUUCGCUUCCAAUCGGAAAUGAA